rfam:Triticum aestivum genome assembly, contig: Triticum_aestivum_CS42_TGACv1_scaffold_640782_T_5AL-0.170558_3DL-0.117962
AUAAUACUCCCUCCGAUCCAUAAUAAGUGUCGCAGUUUUGAACAACUUGUCGCAGUUUGUUUUGAACUAGUUCAAAACUGCGACACUUAUUAGUUCAAAACUGCGACACUUAUUAUGGAUCGGAGGGAGUAGGAU